rnacentral:lncRNA from 1 species
CUCCUCCGCUCCUCUCCCUUCGUGGCGGGCGUCCGCGUCUCUGGUCUGGAGAGAAGGCUCCGAAAUCCGUCUGCGCGAAAACAGCGUGGCAGCUGUCCCAUGCCAUAGUCCCAUCACUGGAGAGGCUGAGCCAGCAGCUCCCCAGCGUAGGAGUUCAUUGCCACCCUGCGCAGUAUACUGAGACCCCCACCCAUCUCAGGAAACAGGAGAGCAAGAAAAGAAAGGAUCUCACACAACAUUGCGUGAGGAGGAAAACAUUCAUGCCUGGCUUACAGAUGGUUCUGCACAGUAUGCUGGCAUCAACAGAAAGUGGACAGCUGUAGCCCUAGAGCUCCACUCCAGAGUGGCUCUGGACAGUGGUAGAAGAAAUCUCCCUGGUGGGCCAAAUGCUGAGAGGCACAUUUGUUUGUCCGUUUCGUCUGAACUAGAGAUGGCCAGGAGCAGGGAGCUGUAUGGACUCAUAGGCUCUGAUCAAGGGAUGCUGCACAUCAGAAGAGUGGUCAUGGCCUGGCGCCCAUGGAAUUAGCUGCUUUCAUCACACACCGUGUUGCCCAGAAGCACCUCACCUGACGGAAAGUUGAGGCGGCCACUGAUGGUACCUGUUCAGAGUCAGCAUUUGCAGAAUGGGUCUCUUACAGCAGAGGCCAGACUUUGAAUCAAGACUAUUAUAUGGCACUGUUUUGUCCUUAGCCCCCAUAGUAUGUGAGCCUGGGGAUUACCAGCCACCUGGGAGGUUAAAGCAGGAAGAUGAUAAAGUCCACCCCCACUGGGGCAAAUGAGUUUCAGAACUGUAAAAAGUGCUGGAAAUGCAUCUCACC